GAUGAACGCUGGCGGCGUGCCUAAUACAUGCAAGUCGAACGGACAGACGAGGAGCUUUCUCGUCGGACGUUAGACGCGGGCGUGAGAGUAACACGUGUAUCACCUCCUUGUAAUACAGGGAUAGCAAGGGGAAACCGGACCGCAUACGAUAUAAGAUAUUGAACCGCGGAGUGCAAUGGUUAGAGACGGUGGUGCGGUCGCUUAUAGAUGGAUCGGCGCCUGAUUAGUUAGUUGGUAAGGUAACGGCUUACCAAGGCAACGAUGCGUAGCCGACCUGAGAGGGUGAUCGGCCACACUGGAACUGAGACACGGUCCAGACUCCUACGGGAGGCAGCAGUAGGGAAUCUUGGGCAAUGGGCGAAAGCCUGACGCAGCCACGCCGCGUGAGGGAUGAAGGCCUUCGGAUCGUAAACCUCUUUUAUUCGGGAAGAACAGAUGUGUAAUAAAACAUGGAGGUCUUGACGGUACCGAAUCAAAAAGCACCGGCUAACUACGUG
rnacentral:rRNA from 1 species